CUGAAACUCCAGAAUCCAAACUCACAUCGCAUCAGAAGCCGGAGUCACACCGAGAGUAAGAAACCGAGAGUCAGGGACCGAGGGAGCAGUGUGAGGUAUUGUAGAGUUGUGUGACCAGGCCCAUCGGUGGAAGUUAAACUCCAUCAACAACUCAGACUUACAGCUGGGCUGCUACUGUCAGAAGGGUUUGAGGACAAUCAACUGCAACUGCUGCUGCUGCUGGUGUGUUUUGUGUGGUGUGGACUUUCUCACGUUGCUGUCGGACACACACACACACACACACACACACAUACAGGAGCUUACAUGCCCAGUACUCCUACCCCCCCCCACCUCAC